rnacentral:rRNA from 1 species
UGGGGAAUUUUGGUCAAUGGGGGAAACCCUGAUCCAGCCAUCCCGCGUGUGCGAUGAAGGCCUUCGGGUUGUAAAGCACUUUUGGCAGGAAAGAAACGUCAUGGGUUAAUACCCCGUGAAACUGACGGUACCUGCAGAAUAAGCACCGGCUAACUACGUGCCAGCAGCCGCGGUAAUACGUAGGGUGCAAGCGUUAAUCGGAAUUACUGGGCGUAACGCGUGCGCAGGCGGUUCGGAAAGAAAGAUGUGAAAUCCCAGAGCUCAACUUUGGAACUGCAUUUUUAACUACCGGGGUAGGGUGGGUCAGAGGGAGGUGGAAUUCCGCGUGGAGCAGUGGAAUGCGUAGAUAUGCGGAGGAACACCGAUGGCGAAGGCAGCCUCCUGGGAUAACACUGACGCUCAUGCACGAAAGCGUGGGGAGCAAACAGG